UUGAGUCUGAGACCCCUGCACUACUCAAUGGGAACUGUUUGACCCAGGACACCGCAAAAGAGCUUUCUAGCAAGGUGGAAGAAGAUAUAAAGGGGGGAAAUGACAUCAUGACAGCACCUCACUCUUCCUACAACAACACACCUGAAAGUACCAGCGGAAAAGGACUGAACUGGGUUGGGGGA